UUGAAGGUGUAAUAAAGUUAUGUCUCAAAGUUGAUAAAAGCUAUGAUUGAGUGCUGGCAUAUUUCAAUCAUCUCCCUAAUUAAACUUUGAAGAUUAUGUGAUCUGCAGCUUCUAUGUAAUUGGAGUCAUGUUUAUGAAGAGGAGGAAUGUUCAUGAAUAAAAGAAUUUAUGAAAUUUGAAUGAAAAUUUAUGAAACUAGUUCAUAAUUUAUGAAAUAGAAUGUUCAUAAAGAGAAUGAUUUUGUUACAGGUGCAACGUGUUACACAAUGUAGCAAAAUAGAAUGCAUCAACUUCAGAGUUCAUAUAACAUUGCACUUUGAAGCUCUCCUUUCUCAUCCAGAUACUAAUCACAGUAAACUCAACAAAUAUGAAGGAUCCAUGAAACAAAUGGGUCACUGGAUUAGAAUGAACCGAGUCUGACCCAAAUAGCAAAUUUGGUGAAGCAACCAAACCAAGCUUCGCUGUCUCUUGGCCUGGGUCAGGUAGUCGAGCACAGAAACUAAUGAUUGUAACUGCAUAACAGGAUUGGAACUUAGGAGGAAGUAUCAUUUCAGAAGCUAAAAAUGGUUGGAAAGAGAUUAAGCAUAACCUUAACAAUAACAUUCACUGCUAUUUCCUUCUCCACUACAAUCUCUAGUAUGUUACACACAGAACUACUUUCCCCAUGUUCUCUUUAAUUGUUUAUUUAUUUAUUUUUUAUGAGUAUUUACUAAAAGUUCGAAGCUUUGUACCUGCCCAUGUUCUAUUAGCAUAUGUUUUAAGUAGAAAAUGUAAGAGUUUAAAGUCCAAAAUUCUUGAGCUGGAGGCAUCUCUCAAGUCUUCCUUAGAUAAAUGUGCCUCUGAAAGGCAAGGGAGAAUUAGGGCUCAACAGGUUACCCUUCUUUCAACACUCCUAUUCUUCAUUCAUUUCUAGUAACUUUAAUCUUAACUUGGUCGGUUACUUGCUCUUCAAUCAUGUCUCAAUUGGCACUUGCCACUCACCACUACAUCAAGUUUAGUUUUUUACCCCUUUUUUAUCCCCCCUAGUUCUUUUGCUGAUUCAUUUGCUCAAGUAUUUAUCUGAAAAUCUGAAGCUGACAUAUUACCCUAUGGCACCGAUUGGUACCAUCCGCUCAUGCUUCACUACGAGCCAAUGAAUAAUGUUUAUUCAAUAGUUUUUAAUUUCAAAAUUUGAUCAUUAAGAUCCUUAGGUAGUUAAGUGCAUUAUUAAUAUUGAAUUUUUCCUAUGCUUAUUCAGUAGGUAACCUGCACAUUGAUAAAUUCCUUAUUCAAUGUCACAUUCAUGAUUAAUGAAAUAUUGCUUUAUACUAGUAUAGGAAUGGGACACCGAGGCAACCGUUACUUGUCCCACUUGCUAGAGCCUAUAUGGUUUUUAAUGCCACUCGUGUUCCGCCAGCAUAUCUUGAGGGUCUAGCUGAAUAUUUUCACUGCUGGGUUUUAUAUGUAUUUUAUUUAAAUACAUAUCUUGAGAAACUAUAGAAGCUUGUAGUAUUUUUUUGUUGUUUAGAUUUGUAACAUGGUUUAUUACUUUUCAAGUGAAAUUUGGGUAUCAAUAUUUUGAGUUUAAUAAAAUAUCUCAUUUUGUAGUAAUUAA